CAGAAGUUAGUUUAUGUGAGAAUAUUAGUUUUGGGGAUUAAGGGUGUUUGUUUCGGAUAGUUCUGA
rnacentral:tRNA from 1 species